GAUGAACGCUGGCGGCGUGCCUAAUACAUGCAAGUCGAGCGAACAGACGAGGAGCUUGCUCCUCUGACGUUAGCGGCGGACGGGUGAGUAACACGUGGAUAACCUACCUAUAAGACUGGGAUAACUUCGGGAAACCGGAGCUAAUACCGGAUAACAUGUUGAACCGCAUGGUUCAACAGUGAAAGACGGUCUUGCUGUCACUUAUAGAUGGAUCCGCGCCGCAUUAGCUAGUUGGUAAGGUAACGGCUUACCAAGGCAACGAUGCGUAGCCGACCUGAGAGGGUGAUCGGCCACACGGGAACUGAAACACGGUCAAGACUCCUACGGGAGGCAGCAGUAGGGAAUCUUCCGCAAUGGGCGAAAGCCUGACGGAGCAACGCCGCGUGAGUGAAGAAGGUCUUCGGAUCGUAAAACUCUGUUAUUAGGGAAGAACAAAUGUGUAAGUAACUAUGCACGUCCUGACGGUACCUAAUCAGAAAGCCACGGCUAACUACGUG
rnacentral:rRNA from 1 species